rnacentral:rRNA from 1 species
AGAAUCAACGCUGGCGGCGUGCCUAACACAUGCAAGUCGCACGAGAAAGGGUAGCAAUACCUGAGUAAAGUGGCGCACGGGUGAGUAACACGUGAAUAAUCUACCUCCGAGUGGGGAAUAACUGAGAGAAAUCUUAGCUAAUACCGCAUAACACUUACGAGUCAAAGCAGUAAUGCGCUUGGAGAGGAGUUCGCGGCAGAUUAGUUAGUUGGCGGGGUAAUGGCCCACCAAGACGAUGAUCUGUAUCCGGCCUGAGAGGGCGCACGGACACACUGGAACUGAAACACGGUCCAGACUCCUACGGGAGGCAGCAGUGGGGAAUUUUGCGCAAUGGGGGAAACCCUGACGCAGCAACGCCGCGUGGAGGAUGAAAUAUCUUGGUAUGUAAACUCCUUUCGAUGGGGAAGAUUAUGACGGUACCAUAGAAGAGCCCCGGCUAACUUCGCGCCAGCAGCCGC